AUGGAGUGUGUGCACGAGCACCAGACUGCAGUUCACUGAACGGCCACAGGUGUCACUAUGGAGUGUGUGCACGAGCACGAGCAACAGACUGCAGUUCACUGAACGGCCACAGGUGUCACUAUGGAGUGUGUGCACGAGCACGAGCAACAGACUGCAGUUCACUGAACGGCCACAGGUGUCACUAUGGAGUGUGUGCACGAGCACGAGCAACAGACUGCAGUUCACUGAACGGCCACAGGUGUCACUAUGGAGUGUGUGCACGAGCACGAGCAACAGGCUGCAGUUCACUGAACGGCCACAGGUGUCACUAUGGAGUGUGUGCACGAGCACGAGCAACAGGCUGCAGUUCACUGAACGGCCACAGGUGUCACUAUGGAGUGUGUGCGUGAGCGCGAGCAACAGGCUGCAGUUCACUGAACGGCCACAGGUGUCACUAUGGAGUGUGUGCGUGAGCGCGAGCAACAGACUGCAGUUCACUGAACGGCCACAG